UUUAUACGUCGAAUUUUGGUCGCGUUGAAUGCAAUUAAGACAUUCACAAUAGAUAACAAGAUGAUAAAUCUCAUUAAGCUUCAUUAUCUAUUGUCUUAAUUGCAUUCGGACGCGACCGAAAUUCGACGUAUAAA